CUGAACACCUUUGACAGAUGGU
rnacentral:piRNA from 1 species